rnacentral:misc_RNA from 1 species
GAAAUGCGAUACGUAAUGUGAAUUGCAGAUUUCAGUGAAUCAUCGAAUCUUUGAACGCACAUUGCGCCCGCUAGUAUUCUGGCGGGCAUGCCUGUUCGAGCGUCAUUUCAACCAUCAAGCGCCCGCGCUUAUGUUAGAGCCCUACGGCUGCCGCAAGCUCCUAAACCUAGUAGCGGGCUCGUUGUCGUACCGAGUGCAGUAAACAUCCUCGCUUAGGGAACGCGUCGGGUACCGGCCGUAAAACACCCAACUAUAUUAAGGUUGACCUCGGAUCAGGUAGGAAUACCCGCUAAACUUAA